CACAGAAACUGCUCUUUACAAGGUGAAACAUUAAUUCAAAUGAGUUUUGUUCUGUGACUAUUAAAACAAUAUGCCAAGUCCAACAAGAUAUAAUCUGUAAUUGAUUAAGAUUCUUAUCUCCUGAAAGAACUACGUUUCUAUUUCUAGAUUUUGCUGGGCCCUUGGUAUGUCUUCUUUUAAGAAGUGUCUGUUCAUGUCUUUUGCCCACUUUUUAAUGGAGUUAUUUGAUUUCUGCUUGUUGAAUUAAAUUCCUUACAGAUGCUAUAUAUUAGCUUUUUCUUGGAUGCACAGUUUGUGAAUAUUUUCUCCCAUUCUGUAGG
rnacentral:lncRNA from 1 species